GAUGAACGCUAGCUACAGGCUUAACACAUGCAAGUCGAGGGGCAGCAUGGUCUUAGCUUGCUAAGGCCGAUGGCGACCGGCGCACGGGUGAGUAACACGUAUCCAACCUGCCGUCUACUCUUGGACAGCCUUCUGAAAGGAAGAUUAAUACAAGAUGGCAUCAUGAGUCCGCAUGUUCACAUGAUUAAAGGUAUUCCGGUAGACGAUGGGGAUGCGUUCCAUUAGAUAGUAGGCGGGGUAACGGCCCACCUAGUCUUCGAUGGAUAGGGGUUCUGAGAGGAAGGUCCCCCACAUUGGAACUGAGACACGGUCCAAACUCCUACGGGAGGCAGCAGUGAGGAAUAUUGGUCAAUGGGCGAGAGCCUGAACCAGCCAAGUAGCGUGAAGGAUGACUGCCCUAUGGGUUGUAAACUUCUCUUAUAAAGGAAUAAAGUCGGGUAUGGAUACCCGUUUGCAUGUACUUUAUGAAUAAGGAUCGGCUAACUCCGUGCCAGCAGCCGCGGUAAUACGGAGGAUCCGAGCGUUAUCCGGAUUUAUUGGGUUUAAAGGGAGCGUAGAUGGAUGUUUAAGUCAGUUGUGAAAGUUUGCGGCUCAACCGUAAAAUUGCAGUUGAUACUGGAUAUCUUGAGUGCAGUUGAGGCAGGCGGAAUUCGUGGUGUAGCGGUGAAAUGCUUAGAUAUCACGAAGAACUCCGAUUGCGAAGGCAGCCUGCUAAGCUGCAACUGACAUUGAGGCUCGAAAGUGUGGGUAUCAAACAGGAUUAGAUGCCCUGGUAGUCCACACGGUAAACGAUGAAUACUCGCUGUUUGCGAUAUACUGCAAGCGGCCAAGCGAAAGCGUUAAGUAUUCCACCUGGGGGGUACGCCGGCAACGGUGAAACUCAAAGGAAUUGACGGGGGCCCGCACAAGCGGAGGAACAUGUGGUUUAAUUCGAUGAUACGCGAGGAACCUUACCCGGGCUUAAAUUGCAGAUGAAUUACGGUGAAAGCCGUAAGCCGCAAGGCAUCUGUGAAGGUGCUGCAUGGUUGUCGUCAGCUCGUGCCGUGAGGUGUCGGCUUAAGUGCCAUAACGAGCGCAACCCUUGUUGUCAGUUACUAACAGGUUCCGCUGAGGACUCUGACAAGACUGCCAUCGUAAGAUGUGAGGAAGGUGGGGAUGACGUCAAAUCAGCACGGCCCUUACGUCCGGGGCUACACACGUGUUACAAUGGGGGGUACAGAGGGCCGCUACCACGCGAGUGGAUGCCAAUCCCCAAAACCUCUCUCAGUUCGGACUGGAGUCUGCAACCCGACUCCACGAAGCUGGAUUCGCUAGUAAUCGCGCAUCAGCCACGGCGCGGUGAAUACGUUCCCGGGCCUUGUACACACCGCCCGUCAAGCCAUGGGAGCCGGGGGUACCUGAAGUGCGUAACCGCGAGGAGCGCCCUAGGGUAAAACUGGUGACUGGGGCUAAGUCGUA
rnacentral:rRNA from 1 species